AUGAACGCUGGCGGCGUGCCUAAUCCCUGCCAGUCGAGCGCACAGACGAGGAGCUUGCUCCUCUGACGUUAGCGGCGGACGGGUGAGUAACACGUGGAUAACCUACCUAUAAGACUGGGAUAACUUCGGGAAACCGGAGCUAAUACCGGAUAAUAUAUUGAACCGCAUGGUUCAAUAGUGAAAGACGGUUUUGCUGUCACUUAUAGAUGGAUCCGCGCCGCAUUAGCUAGUUGGUAAGGUAACGGCUUACCAAGGCAACGAUGCGUAGCCGACCUGAGAGGGUGAUCGGCCACACUGGAACUGAGACACGGUCCAGACUCCUACGGGAGGCAGCAGUAGGGAAUCUUCCGCAAUGGGCGAAAGCCUGACGGAGCAACGCCGCGUGAGUGAUGAAGGUCUUCGGAUCGUAAAACUCUGUUAUUAGGGAAGAACAAAUGUGUAAGUAACUAUGCACGUCUUGACGGUACCUAAUCAGAAAGCCACGGCUAACUACGUG
rnacentral:rRNA from 1 species